rnacentral:rRNA from 1 species
GGACCCGCACAAGCAGUGGAGCAUGUGGUUUAAUUCGACGCAACGCGAAGAACCUUACCAGCGUUUGACAUGAGAAGUGCCGGUUACAGAAUGGUAACCUUCAGUUCGGCUGGCUUCUACACAGGUGCUGCAUGGCUGUCGUCAGCUCGUGUCGUGAGAUGUUGGGUUAAGUCCCGCAACGAGCGCAACCCUUAUCGUUAGUUACUAACAGUUCGGCUGAGGACUCUAGCGAAACUGCCGGUGAUAAGCCGGAGGAAGGUGGGGAUGACGUCAAGUCCUCAUGGCCCUUAUGCCCAGGGCUACACACGUGCUACAAUGGUAAGGACAAAGAGUAGCGAGACCGCGAGGUGGAGCCAAUCUCAAAACCCUUACCCAGUUCGGAUUGCAGUCUGCAACUCGACUGCAUG